AAAUGGAUUCUGGCAGUUUAGAAGAACCGUCGCCGCUAUGUUAAUAUUUGAAUCCUUGCGGCCGUUCAAAAGCAACCGUCGAGAAGUCGACAAACCCGCGCUAUUUCACUUCUUCCCCCUUUUUUCAGAAUUUCUUCAAUCCCACAACCUUCGAGCUUCAAUCCCUAAAUCAGAUUCGUUUUCAAGCUUAUUCAAUCCCUAAACCCU
rnacentral:lncRNA from 1 species